UACGGAGGGUGCGAGCGUUGUCCGGAAUCACUGGGCUUAAAGGGCGCGUAGGCGGCGCGAGUAGUCAACGGUGAAAGCCCGGGGCUCAACCCCGGGUCGGCCGUCGAUACUCUCGUGCUUGAGCACUGUAGAGGCAGGUGGAAUUCCGGGUGUAGCGGUGGAAUGCGUAGAGAUCCGGAAGAACACCGGUGGCGAAGGCGGCCUGCUGGGCAGUAGCUGACGCUGAGGCGCGACAGCGUGGGGAGCAAACAGG
rnacentral:rRNA from 1 species